rnacentral:rRNA from 1 species
GACGAACGCUGGCGGCGUGCCUAAUACAUGCAAGUAGAACGCUGAAGGAGGAGCUUGCUUCUCUGGAUGAGUUGCGAACGGGUGAGUAACGCGUAGGUAACCUGCCUGGUAGCGGGGGAUAACUAUUGGAAACGAUAGCUAAUACCGCAUAAUAGUAGAUGUUGCAUGACAUUUGCUUAAAAGGUGCAAUUGCAUCACUACCAGAUGGACCUGCGUUGUAUUAGCUAGUUGGUGGGGUAACGGCUCACCAAGGCGACGAUACAUAGCCGACCUGGGAGGGGGGUCGGCCACACUGGGACUGGGACACGGCCCAGACCCCUACGGGAGGGAGGAGGAGGGAAUCUUCGGCAAUGGACGGAAGUCUGACCGGGCAACGCCGGGGGAGUGAAGAAGGUUUUCGGAUCGUAAAGCUCCGUUGUAAGGGAAGAAAGAGUGUGGGAGGGGAAAGUUCACACUGUGACGGUAUCUUACCAGAAAGGGACGGCUAACUACGUG